ACUCAAAUGAAUUGACGGGGGUCCGCACAAGCGGUGGAACAUGUGGUUUAAUUCGUCACUACGCGAGGAACCUUACCUGGACUUGACAUGUAUUUGACAGUUGUAGAAACACAAUCUCUUAGGCUUCGGUCUAAGCAGAUACACAGGUGCUGCAUGGCUGUCGUCAGCUCGUGUCGUGAGAUGUUGGGUUAAGUCCUCUAACGAGCGCAACCCCUGCUAUCAGUUGCUACCCUAGUGGAGCACUCUGAUGGGACUGCCUGGGAAACCAGGAGGAAGGUGGGGAUGACGUCAAGUCAUCAUGGUCCUUAUGUCCAGGGCUACACACGUGUUACAAUGGCCGGUACAACGGGUCGCAAUACCGCGAGGUGGAGCUAAUCCUAAUAAAGCCGGUCUAAGUUCGGAUUGGAGUCUGCAACUCGACUCCAUGAAGUUGAAAUCGCUAGUAAUCGCGUAUCAGCAACGACGCGGUGAAUACGUUCUCGGACCUUGUACACACCGCCCGU
rnacentral:rRNA from 1 species